AUUGAACGCUGGCGGCAGGCCUAACACAUGCAAGUCGAGCGAGUGGCGGACGGGUGAGUAAUGUAUGGGAAUCUGCCCGAUAGUGGGGGAUAACUACUGGAAAGGGUGGCUAAUACCGCAUACUAUCCGAUGAGCCAAUAUGGGAUUAGCUAGUGGGUGGGGUAAAGGCUUACCUAGGCGACGAUCGCUAGCGGGUCUGAGAGGAUGAUCAGCCACACUGGGACUGAGACACGGCCCAGACUCCUACGGGAGGCAGCAGUGGGGAAUAUUGCACAAUGGGCGCAAGCCUGAUGCAGCCAUGCCGCGUGUAUGAAGAAGGCCUUCGGGUUGUAAAGUACUUUCAGCGGGGAGGCGUUACCCAAAGAAUAAGCACCGGCUAACUCCGUGCCAGCAGCCGCGGUAAUUC
rnacentral:rRNA from 1 species